rnacentral:rRNA from 1 species
CUUAUGCGUUGUUGGGUAGGGGAGCGUUCUGUAAGCCUGUGAAGGUGUGUCGUGAGGCAUGCUGGAGGUAUCAGAAGUGCGAAUGCUGACAUAAGUAACGAUAAAGCGGGUGAAAAGCCCGCUCGCCGGAAGACCAAGGGUUCCUGUCCAACGUUAAUCGGGGCAGGGUGAGUCGACCCCUAAGGCGAGGCCGAAAGGCGUAGUCGAUGGGAAACGGGUUAAUAUUCCCGUACUUGGUGUUACUGCGAAGGGGGGACGGAGAAGGCUAUGUUGGCCGGGCGACGGUUGUCCCGGUUUAAGCGUGUAGGUGUGUGUUCCAGGUAAAUCCGGUUCACUUUAACACUGAGGCGUGACGACGAGGCACUACGGUGCUGAAGCAACAAAUGCCCUGCUUCCAGGAAAAGCCUCUAAGCAUCAGGUAACAUCAAAUCGUACCCCAAACCGACACAGGUGGUCAGGUAGAGAAUACCAAGGCGCUUGAGAGAACUCGGGUGAAGGAACUAGGCAAAAUGGUGCCGUAACUUCGGGAGAAGGCACGCUGACACGUAGGUGAAGUGAUUUACUCAUGGAGCUGAAGUCAGUCGAAGAUACCAGCUGGCUGCAACUGUUUAUUAAAAACACAGCACUGUGCAAACACGAAAGUGGACGUAUACGGUGUGACGCCUGCCCGGUGCCGGAAGGUUAAUUGAUGGGGUCAGCGCAAGCGAAGCUCCUGAUCGAAGCCCCGGUAAACGGCGGCCGUAACUAUAACGGUCCUAAGGUAGCGAAAUUCCUUGUCGGGUAAGUUCCGACCUGCACGAAUGGCGUAAUGAUGGCCAGGCUGUCUCCACCCGAGACUCAGUGAAAUUGAACUCGCUGUGAAGAUGCAGUGUACCCGCGGCAAGACGGAAAGACCCCGUGAACCUUUACUAUAGCUUGACACUGAACAUUGAGCCUUGAUGUGUAGGAUAGGUGGGAGGCUUUGAAGCGUGGACGCCAGUCUGCGUGGAGCCGACCUUGAAAUACCACCCUUUAAUGUUUGAUGUUCUAACGUGGACCCGUAAUCCGGGUUGCGGACAGUGUCUGGUGGGUAGUUUGACUGGGGCGGUCUCCUCCUAAAGAGUAACGGAGGAGCACGAAGGUUGGCUAAUCCUGGUCGGACAUCAGGAGGUUAGUGCAAUGGCAUAAGCCAGCUUGACUGCGAGCGUGACGGCGCGAGCAGGUGCGAAAGCAGGUCAUAGUGAUCCGGUGGUUCUGAAUGGAAGGGCCAUCGCUCAACGGAUAAAAGGUACUCCGGGGAUAACAGGCUGAUACCGCCCAAGAGUUCAUAUCGACGGCGGUGUUUGGCACCUCGAUGUCGGCUCAUCACAUCCUGGGGCUGAAGUAGGUCCCAAGGGUAUGGCUGUUCGCCAUUUAAAGUGGUACGCGAGCUGGGUUUAGAACGUCGUGAGACAGUUCGGUCCCUAUCUGCCGUGGGCGCUGGAGAACUGAGGGGGGCUGCUCCUAGUACGAGAGGACCGGAGUGGACGCAUCACUGGUGUUCGGGUUGUCAUGCCAAUGGCACUGCCCGGUAGCUAAAUGCGGAAGAGAUAAGUGCUGAAAGCAUCUAAGCACGAAACUUGCCCCGAGAUGAGUUCUCCCUGAGACUUAGAGUCUCCUGAAGGAACGUUGAAGACGACGACGUUGAUAGGCCGGGUGUGUAAGCGCAGCGAUGCGUUGAGCUAACCGGUACUAAUGAACCGUGAGG